rnacentral:rRNA from 1 species
AUUGAACGCUGGCGGCAUGCUUUACACAUGCAAGUCGAACGGCAGCGCGGGCUUCGGCCUGGCGGCGAGUGGCGAACGGGUGAGUAAUGCAUCGGAACGUGCCCAGUAGUGGGGGAUAGCCCGGCGAAAGCCGGAUUAAUACCGCAUACGACCUGAGGGUGAAAGCGGGGGACCGAAAGGCCUCGCGCUAUUGUAGCGGCCGAUGUCGGAUUAGCUCGUUGGUGGGGUAACGGCUUACCAAGGCGACGAUCCGUAGCUGGUCUGAGAGGACGACCAGCCGCACUGGGGAUAGGACACGGCCCAGCCUCGUGCGGGAGGCAGCAGCGGGAAAUUUUGGACAAGGGGGGGAACCCUGAUCCAGCCAUGGCGCGUGCGGGAAGAAGGCCUUCGGGUUGUAAACCGCUUUUGUUCGGGAAGAAAUCCUCUGGGCUAAUACCCCGGGGGGAUGACGGUACCGGAAGAAUAAGCACCGGCUAACUACGG